rnacentral:rRNA from 1 species
CCUGAACGCUGGCGGCGUGGCUAAGACAUGCAAGUCGCACGGGCCUCGCAAGAGGUCAGUGGCGAACGGGUGAGUAAAGAAUCGCUAACGUACCCCGGACUCUGGGAUAGCUACCCGAAAGGGUGGGUAAUACCAGAUGAUAUAACUUUCCUGCAUGGGAGAGUUCUCAAAGGACCGCCGGCAACGGUGGAACGGUCGUGGGGGCGGGGCGAUUUCGUAUCAGCUAGUUGGUGAGGAACGGCUCACCAAGGCGACGACGCGUAGCCGGACUGAGAGGUUGGCCGGCCACAUUGGGACUGAGACACUGCCCAGACUCCUACGGGGGGCUGCAGUAACGAAUCUUCCGCAAUGCACGCAAGUGUGACGGAGCGACGCCGCGUGUGGGACGAA